UCCGUAGUGCGUGUUGAACGAUGUAAGGCAAUCCGUUUAUUUGUUUGCAUUGCGUCGUUGCAGGAACUGUGGCACUCGUCUUGGAGAAUUCGUCCAAUACAUACCUUUGUCAUACACAGUCGGUUGGCCUCACUUAUGGUUUGUAAUGGAACGCCAUUUAUACGAAUUGUCGAAUGACAUGGAUAGUGAGUCCAAGUACAGUAGAACAUCGAUUAUACGAAGAGGAUUAACCGGCGGGCCGCUUAACCGUGGGCAUAAAUUAGACAGCUGUUCAAGCGUGGCGAACAUUUGCAGCGUUGGUCAAGUUGCUAAAUAAUAUUUUGUGUGCAGCUUUUUAGUGUCUAGCGAUAGGUUUGAGCUUCAUUUGUGUGCAUGAACAAUUGUUAAACCUAUAGUUAAUGAUUCAAAUAAUGUUUUACUAAUGAUUAAUCGAUUCCCAAGCUACCUGGAUAAUCGACGUUUUACUGUUUGUUUAUUUACUACACAUUUUUUGAGAUUUUUUUUAAAUUUUUGGUAAAUAGCAGUUUUUUCAAAUAUCUUCCUCUGCAUGCAAUGUCAUCUGUGUAUUGAACUGUCUCAAUAACACGGAUAAAUGGACAGCCGGAUAGACGGUACUCGGAUAACAGCGUCCUACUUUUAAUUUUUUGUUAAUAAACCGAGUGUAUUCAAAACAUAAAACAUACGCGUUAAAUCGUUACUAACCAUGCAGAUCGACAGCUUCUACAGACGGUAGUGCUUUUCGAUGAUUACCAACAGUUCCGUCAUUGCUCGACGAUGGCAAUCUGCUUACCUGUGCAGCUGACUAAAUACAUAGUACCGUGCCAAUGUGUACGAUUGAACCGUCCCGGACGUGUCUUACCCUUCUGAAAGUUCUCUGUGGGAAGGAAUUUACAAAUCGCUACACCUCACUGUGGUUGUGUUUCCUCCCGAAGUAGUGAAAGGCCUUUGUUUCGCCCCGAGUGAAAGCCAAUUGUGUGUAAAUAGUUUAAAAUUGUAGAUUACACCAUCACCCAAUUACGUGCGGAUGCAUGAAGCCUUUCGUACAUGAAGAUGUGUCCGUGCCUCUUUCCAUGCCUCUUCGGAUGAUGAGCAGCAUGCCUCCCACAGAGCAAGAGGAAUCACCGCACGGGGUGACAUUUGAAUAUUCAAUGUAAUCACAACCGACCCCAUCCGGCCAACAACGAUCUCAAAGGCGUUCAAAAACAAUUCACUGCACUUGAAAAGAUUGCCCAAAGUUGCCUUCACCAGGAGCUUUGCGGCUAGGGAAAGAAAGAGCACCAUUACUCCAGCACACUGGGCACAGUAUAAUGUAUUUUGAGAAUUUUCAAAACCUUAUCCAGGAUCCAGACACGCGAGAAGAGUGUAAGGACGGUCUUCAUUAGAGCUAAAUCGAUAACAAGGCUCAUCACGCUGCUGGCCUUCCGUCCGUUGCUUCUCUACAAGUGGAUUUGAUGAUCCCUGAAAUCGGCAUAACGAUGAAACGUGUCCCGGUUCUCCCCCUCCACCCCCCAGGAUAAAGGGGACUUUUGACAUCAAGCGGAAGUAGUAGGUCACGGGAAACUCGUCGAGAAUGUACCAAGUAGUGGGAUGGAAUUGCGCAAAAUAAAAAAAUAAAAAAAAUAACGAAACAGAAUUGUAUGUUUAUGCAUGAGUAGAACGAGAAUUCAUAAAGCUUCAUAAAUAAACAUACAUUCCAUCGUUUCCAUCGUCGGAAAAGGAGGCUGCGCUUCGCGUCACCAUUGUCAUCGUAUCUCGGAGACUUGAGCUUUUCUUUCUUUCCUUCUCUGCGAUUAUCUGGUUAGCAUCUCCUCCGAAACAAGCGUUUGCAGCAGCAAAGGUGCACCGAAGUAAUGAAACCGACGCCGAAAACCGACUCCAGAUCGUUACGGUAUUUAUCAAUUUUCUCAUUUUAUUCAUUUAUUCAACCUAAUAGUACUUAAAACAUUCCCCACUUUACACACUUCCAUCUCAUUUGCUAUUUGCUUUUUUGUGUUUUUUCUGCGUUAAAUUCUUCUUUCUUUUUCCCCGCUUUUUCCCCGUUUUUCUCAGUAUUGACUAUUAUGUUUCAUAUUUUUCACCAUAUAAAAGUGCUACGCCACCGUCGCAGCCGGAGGGGGUGGAGGGGGGAGGGGGGCCGCUUUGGUUGCCAUAGCAUUCCUGUUUGACUGUAUUUUGUUUCGUUUUUGCCCUGUGCUGACUGAGCGGCCCUGUCUUACUACACGUGUUUCUUGCUACUCUGCCGCUUCUCUGAUCAGAGUAGGCCUUCCCAGGGUGUCACCGGGUGCUUGUGGUGGCAUGUGUAGGAUUUUUUGAUAUUUACAUCGUUAUUUACAGUGGUUUUUUGGAAAUGGAUGGGAUAAAGAGGGGGGAGAGGAGGUAAGGUUGGCCACAGCAAACAACAGGCGGAAACUGAUGAAUGAUGAGCAAUGUCACUUUCAAUGUGGACCCUUACUCGAUGGCAAAAAGAAAGGGAAAGAACAAUUCGUGCAAACUGCCUUUUGUGACCGAUUUUCCGCUCUCUUUUUUUUCUUACCCUUUCUUUGAAUGAGCUUUCCCCAGUUGGAAGAAGAAAAGCGCUUUUCACGGCAACCGCAGUGCGACCAAUUUCGCUGAAUUCGAAUGUAGAGCGACCCUCUGUUUUUCGAUGAAAGUUCCGAACCCACCGGGCACCCUUUUUUCCAGGUGCGCCUGGUCUGGGCCGGUCUUGCCUUAGCUCCAAGUAUUGGGUACCGAGGGAAAACUUCCGAGCGAUUGCGUCUUUUGUUACGACUUUUAUUAUGGACUUUCGCGAAAGCUGCUUGCGCGGUGCGUUUACCCGGGUUGGGUAAAUAACACAUACGCUUGAAGUACGGGGAGAGGGGGGUGGGGUCUUGGUGCUCGCUCGGCCCAUUGUCCAUGAUUUAUUCGCGCUGUUCUCCGAUUCGCGGUGUGUUGUUGCGCCCUCAGGUAAGCCGAUUUCAAACGCUUUCCUUCCAGCCGGCAGCGGGAGCAUUUGGAAAGAUGUUAUUUAUUUUACUUAUUUUUCCUGCACUUUCUCUC